CGGAGCUCGCAUCACUCUUGAGCUGCCUGCCGCGGGCCCCAAGCGACACAGAGCACUGAGAAGCUCCUGCAGACAGGAGGCAGGCCGCACAGGAGGCCGAUGGUGUCGGCUGUCCCCCACCCCCGGGCACAGUCCCUAGGCCGGAGGGGAGUGGCACGGAGGCCGGGCUGAGCCUACCUUAUGGAGCACGCCACCAGGAGAAGCCGUGAGGUCACACAGGCUGAGAGCGCGGCAGCCACACCAGCCCCAGGCCGCAGCCCAGGCAAGGUGGCCAGGGCAGAAGAAGGCAGCAGACCUCAGAGGACACCAGUCGGAGGGUGGCUAGGGAUGCCCUGCCUCCCGUCACGUCAUGAGGCCACAGAGCGCGGGAACGCCUAAGGGGAGAGGAGCGAGAUUCUGAAGGUCUGAGCCUUCGCCAAGGGACUGACUCACCCCCAGGAAACCUCGGGACUGCCUCUGGACGAGGUAGCAUAUCCCAUUGAACCCGACUGGAUUCAACCCAAAGGAAGGUACCCUGUAAGCCGUGAAUGCUCCUUGGUGUGCCCAGCGGGACGGGGCUGCAGGAGGAGGAAAUCAGCUGGGGGACCCGAAGCAGCUCUGUUUUCUUUGGGCGUGUGAGUGUGCUGUGAGUGAAUCUGGAAACCUAUUUUUUGUAUUUCCUAUUACAUAAUUCUACCACAAAUUCAAGAUUAUAUCAUAUGUAUAACUUUGAAAAAUCAGAAAAAAUCCAGAUCUGAAUUGACAAGGUUUAUAAUUUCAAGUAUAUCAGGUAGGUAUCAUUGUGUAUAUUUAAUAACUCAUUGAGUUUUCUAUAGCACAUAUUGUACAUUUUAGGUAUGUACAUUUUAUGUGAUUCACACAUGCACAUGUCUUGAUAUUUUCUAUUUCCUUUUUGCUACUGUUAAGCUUCCUGUGUGCUAAGCCGGGUCUUUAUUCUUCUGAAUGAUGCAAUGAAUUGACUAGAUAAUGCACCAGGAAGGAACUCUGGCAAGGUACCAGGACCUUGGCACUACCUUUCAUUUCAAUUUGAUUCAAUGUAGAAUUCCACACUAUGGUAAGUUGCUCAGGUGACCUCUGUGACUCGUGCCACCCAAGUGGCACAGGUGGCAGGAAGUCCCUGAGAGGUAGUGCAGGAGGGUCUCCGGAACCUUCACCAGCAGCUCUGCUGCUCUGAACCUUGAUGUCAAAAUCCAGGUUUUGCACAAUAAGAAAAAGUGCUGUUUUUACUUAUGAGAUGUUAAAACUCUCACUGUCCCAGGAAGGAGGGUGGCAGCUGGGACACUCACACCCCAGCCUUCCUCUCAGAGGCUGUCACUCUGAACAUGUCAAGACACCGGGAGCCACCAUAGAUGAGGUUUUUUUCCUGAAUAAAUAUGACUGAAACUUUUGACAAGGAUUAUUCUUUAUUUUAUACGUAGACAUCAUGGAGAUGUCCA
rnacentral:lncRNA from 1 species